AUUGAACGCUGGCGGCAUGCCUUACACAUGCAAGUCGAACGGUAACGGGCCUUCGGGUGCCGACGAGUGGCGAACGGGUGAGUAAUGCAUCGGAACGUACCUUUCAGUGGGGGAUAACGUAGCGAAAGUUACGCUAAUACCGCAUAUUCUGUGAGCAGGAAAGCAGGGGAUCGCAAGACCUUGCGCUGAUUGAGCGGCCGAUGUCAGAUUAGCUAGUUGGUGAGGUAAAGGCUCACCAAGGCGACGAUCUGUAGCGGGUCUGAGAGGAUGAUCCGCCACACUGGAACUGAGACACGGUCCAGACUCCUACGGGAGGCAGCAGUGGGGAAUUUUGGACAAUGGGGGGCAACCCUGAUCCAGCCAUGCCGCGUGAGUGAAGAAGGCCUC
rnacentral:rRNA from 1 species